rnacentral:lncRNA from 1 species
UUCUUGUGCACAAGAGUUGGAAGUAGAGAUGUGGGUUGAGAGUGUUAAGCAUAUUCUAAUAUGAUUUGUAAUUUAUUUAGGUCUCUUCUAGUUUACUGAAAUGUUGGGCUGUUGAGACCAUCAGAUAAACUUACACCCAACUGAUGAAUGGUAGGGGAAAAAAAAACUGAUGAAUGGUAGGCUCAGUUUAUUUUUGUUUCUUAAUUGUAUACAAGAUCGUCAGACAAACUUACGCUUCUUUAUUUGAUAAAUCAAAUUUGUCUUCUUUAUUUUU